rnacentral:rRNA from 1 species
AGGGAAAGAGGGAGGAAGGAAGAACACAUGCAAGUCGAACGGUAACAGGAAGCAGCUUGCUGCUUCGCUGACGAGUGGCGGACGGGUGAGUAAUGUCUGGGAAGCUGCCUGAUGGAGGGGGAUAACUACUGGAAACGGUAGCUAAUACCGCAUAAUGUCGCAAGACCAAAGAGGGGGACCUUCGGGCCUCUUGCCAUCGGAUGUGCCCAGAUGGGAUUAGCUUGUUGGUGGGGUAACGGCUCACCAAGGCGACGAUCCCUAGCUGGUCUGAGAGGAUGACCAGCCACACUGGGACUGAGACACGGUCCAGACUCCUACGGGAGGCAGCAGUGGGGAAUAUUGCACAAUGGGCGCAAGCCUGAUGCAGCCAUGCCGCGUGUAUGAAGAAGGCCUUCGGGUUGUAAAGUACUUUCAGCGGGGAGGAAGGGAGUAAAGUUAAUACCUUUGCUCAUUGACGUUACCCGCAGAAGAAGCACCGGCUAACUCCGUG